UGGGGAAUAUUGCGCAAUGGGCGGAAGCCUGACGCAGCGACGCCGCGUGAGGGAUGAAGGUUUUCGGAUCGUAAACCUCUGUCAGAAGGGAAGAAACCGCACUGUGCUAAUCAGCAGUGCCUUGACGGUACCUUCAAAGGAAGCACCGGCUAACUCCGUGCCAGCAGCCGCGGUAAUACGGAGGGUGCAAGCGUUAAUCGGAAUUACUGGGCGUAAAGCGCACGUAGGCUGCUUUGUAAGUCAGGGGUGAAAUCCCACGGCUCAACCGUGGAACUGCCUUUGAUACUGCUUAGCUUGAAUCCGGGAGAGGGUGGCGGAAUUCCAGGUGUAGGAGUGAAAUCCGUAGAUAUCUGGAGGAACAUCAGUGGCGAAGGCGGCCACCUGGACCGGUAUUGACGCUGAGGUGCGAAAGCGUGGGGAGCAAACAGG
rnacentral:rRNA from 1 species